rnacentral:rRNA from 1 species
GACGAACGCUGGCGGCGUGCUUAACACAUGCAAGUCGAACGGAAAGGCCCUGCUUUUGUGGGGUGCUCGAGUGGCGAACGGGUGAGUAACACGUGAGUAACCUGCCCUUGACUUUGGGAUAACUUCAGGAAACUGGGGCUAAUACCGGAUAGGAGCUCCUGCUGCAUGGUGGGGGUUGGAAAGUUUCGGCGGUUGGGGAUGGACUCGCGGCUUAUCAGCUUGUUGGUGGGGUAGUGGCUUACCAAGGCUUUGACGGGUAGCCGGCCUGAGAGGGUGACCGGCCAAAUUGGGACUGAGAUACGGCCCAGACUCCUACGGGAGGCAGCAGUGGGGAAUAUUGCACAAUGGGCGGAAGGCUGAUGCAGCAACGCCGCGUGCGGGAUGACGGCCUUCGGGUUGUAAACCGCUUUCGCCUGGGACGAAGCGUGAGUGACGGUAAUGGGUAAAGAAGCAACGGCUAACUACGUG